UCCAGGUCGAAUGCCAAGUCAGCACUGGGAAAGGGGAAAACCAGAAGUUAAAGCUCUAAGCUGGGCAGAGACAACGCUUGGAAGAUUCCUUCCACCUCCUGUUGAGCCAACACAGGAUGGGGACAGCAAACUGGGAGCUCACCUGGCAGCUACGAAGGCGCCAAAGAUCAUAGCAAAUACUGUCAUCUGAAUGCUCCAGGAAAACUUCUUCCUGGAAAAGAGAGGCCGGAGGACAUGGCCGUCAGCCACAGUUCAGUCCUCGGGGAAGUACUGCCAGGGCUUUGGAGAGGAACAAGGGACACAUAUGGAAAGGGGGAGAAAACCCCAAGGAAACCAACCCGUGCAAGAGCCAUGAGUAAAAGACACUUUUAGACAAUUCUCUCUGUAAUUUAAAAAUAAAUAACUUGGUCUCGA